AGCCAAGUAUUUUUCAGUGAAGACGAGAACAAUUCUGUCUCUGUAUUUGUCAAAAGAGAUGGUUUUGCAGGUCCAGGGUACUUCAUUGAGACUGUAUUCUAGAUGAACAGGAAACUGACUGAAGAAAUGGGUGUCCUUCCAGAUUCUUGGACACUUCAGAUGACUCCUACUGGACAUUCUCAGGUAGACCAGCAACAGGAGCUCUUGUGACCAGGCCAAUUGCAAAUGAAGUCAGUUGUUAACCAAUGCCAACAAAAACAAUGACGUGGAAGGACAUGGAGAUUGUGAAGUACUCAAGCUAGAAUGCAGUGUGACUGUUUAGUGUCCACACCUGGUGUAGAUUUCUGUAGGCUACCAUUUGCUUUUGGUCAGCUGUAGUUUAGGAGACAGAUGCUUUGCCUAAUGUUAAAGGUAAAAGGCCUUGUUGAAUUUUCAAAUAGCGCACCGACGACCUGCUAGUACUUUUGGUUAUGAAUGUUGUUUUAACAAUUAGUAUGAUGGGUUUGAGAGCUUUUAUUUCGGGAUUUUUUUAAUUUAUUUUUUUGCACGCUUUGAUGUAUUAGGAACCGGAAAAGGAUCUUUAUUUCUGGCAGUGAUGAUUUUAAACCUGAAGUUAGCAGGUUGACAUAAAGUAGCUAGCCACGAAUAAGCAACUACUGCAAUUGCUUCAAAAUGCAG